GGGGGAAUUUUGGACAAUGGGCGAAAGCCUGAUCCAGCAAUGCCGCGUGCAGGGAGAAGGCCUUCGGGUUGUAAACUGCUUUUGUACGGAACGAAAAGGUUCGCCCUAAUACGGUGGGCCCAUGACGGUACCGUAAGAAUAAGCACCGGCUAACUACGUGCCAGCAGCCGCGGUAAUACGUAGGGUGCGAGCGUUAAUCGGAAUUACUGGGCGUAAAGCGUGCGCAGGCAGUGAUGUAAGACAGUUGUGA
rnacentral:rRNA from 1 species